rnacentral:ribozyme from 1 species
AUUGCAAGUUCAGGGCCACAGCAAAAGCGUUCAUGGUGUGGGCCUCCCAGAUUCUAGUGAAUCUGCAAAUUCUGCU